AGAGUUUGAUCCUGGCUUAGAAUGAACGCUGGCGGCGUGCUUCAGGCAUGCAAGUUGAACGAGAAAGAUACUUUCGGGUGUUGAGUAGAGUGGCGCACGGGUGAGUAAGACUUAGGUAACGUACCUUUUUUGCUGGGGAUAACUUGGGGAAACUUGAGCUAAUACCGAAUGAGCCUUAAUUGUUUGCGGACGAUUAAGGGAAAGUCGCAAGACGCGAAGAGAUCGGCCUGAGAACCAUUAGCUAGUUGGUGUGGUAAAGGCAUACCAAGGCGAUGAUGGUUAGCUGGUCUAAGAGGAUGAUCAGCCACACUGGUACUGGAACACGGACCAGACUCCUACGGGAGGCAGCAGCUGGGAAUUUUUGCGCAAUGGGGUAGGACCCUGAACCGCAGCAACGCCGCGUGGGCGAGGAAGGCCUUCGGGUUGUAAAGCCCUUUUAGUGGGAAAGAAGAAGAUGACGGUACCCGCAGAAGAAGCACCGGCUAACUCCGUGCCAGCAGCUGC
rnacentral:rRNA from 1 species